rnacentral:rRNA from 1 species
GGGUUGUUAAGUAGGCAAAUCCGCUUAACGUUAGACCGAGAUCUUACAGGCUCUUGACACUCUUCGGAGGAGAUGGAGAAUCGAUGAUACUGUCGUGCCAAGAAAAGCCACUAAGUUUAUUAUAUGUUGCCCGUACCGUAAACCGACACAGGUGGGUGGGAUGAGUAUUCUAAGGCGCGUGGAAGAACCCUCUUUAAGGAACUCCGCAAAAUAGCACCGUAUCUUCGGUAUAAGGUGUGCCUACUUUGGUAUAUGGACUUGCUCCAAAAAGCUAGAGAGGUUGCAACAAAGAGUCCCUCCCGACUGUUUACCAAAAACACAGCACUUUGCUAACACGUAAGUGGAUGUAUAAGGUGUGACGCCUGCCCGGUGCUCGAAGGUUAACUGAUGAUGUCAGCGCAAGCGAAGCAUUUGAUUGAAGCCCGAGUAAACGGCGGCCGUAACGAUAACGGUCCUAAGGUAGCGAAAUUCCUUGUCAGUUAAAUACUGACCUGCAUGAAUGGCGUAACGAGAUGGGAGCUGUCUCAAAGAGGGAUCCAGUGAAAUUGUAGUGGAGGUGAAAAUUCCUCCUACCCGCGGAAAGACGGAAAGACCCCGUGCACCUUUACUACAGCUUGACACUGUAGCUUGGAUAUUCAUGUGCAGGAUAGGUGGGAGGCUAUGAUGACUAGACGCAAGUAGAGUCGGAGCCAUCGUUGAAAUACCACCCUGCAUAUGGUGAGGCUCUAACCUAGACCCGUUAUCCGGGUUGGGGACAGCGUCAGGCGGGUAGUUUAACUGGGGCGGUUGCCUCCUAAAGAGUAACGGAGGCGCCCAAAGGUUCCCUCAGCCUGGUUGGCAAUCAGGCGUUGAGUGCAAUGGCAAAAGGGAGCUUGACUGCGAGACCUACAAGUCGAGCAGGAGCGAAAGCUGGGCAUAGUGAUCCGGCGGUUGCGUGUGGAAGCGCCGUCGCUCAACGGAUAAAAGGUACCCCGGGGAUAACAGGCUAAUCUUGCCCAAGCGUCCAUAGCGACGGCAAGGUUUGGCACCUCGAUGUCGGCUCAUCGCAUCCUGGGGCUGAAGCAGGUCCCAAGGGUUGGGCUGUUCGCCCAUUAAAGCGGUACGCGAGCUGGGUUCAGAACGUCGUGAGACAGUUCGGUCCCUAUCCUCUGCAGCCGGAGGUGAAUUGAGGAAAGCUGUCCCUAGUACGAGAGGACCGGGACGGACGCAGCUCUCGUGUGCCAGUUGUCCUGCCAAGGGCAUGGCUGGUUAGCGACCUGCGGAAAGGAUAACCGCUGAAAGCAUCUAAGCGGGAAGCCUCUUCCAAGAUGAAUUCACCCACAGGGUUAACCUGGUAAGGCCCGUGGUAGACCACCACGUUGAUAGGCCGGAAGUGUAAGCGUGGCAACACGUUCAGCUGACCGGUACUAAUCGG